rnacentral:rRNA from 1 species
UACGGAGGGUGCAAGCGUUAUCCGGAUUCACUGGGUUUAAAGGGUGCGUAGGUGGAUUAGUAAGUCAGUGGUGAAAUCUCCGGGCUUAACCCGGAAACUGCCAUUGAUACUAUUAGUCUUGAAUACCGUGGAGGUCAGCGGAAUAUGUCAUGUAGCGGUGAAAUGCUUAGAUAUGACAUAGAACACCAAUUGCGAAGGCAGCUCGCUACACAUAUAUUGACUCUGAGGCACGAAAAGCGUGGGGAUCAAACAGG